rnacentral:rRNA from 1 species
GACGAACGCUGGCGGCGUGCUUAACACAUGCAAGUCGAACGGAAAGGCCCUGCUUUUGUGGGGUGCUCGAGUGGCGAACGGGUGAGUAACACGUGAGUAACCUGCCCUUGACUUUGGGAUAACUUCAGGAAACUGGGGCUAAUACCGGAUAGGAGCUCCUGCUGCAUGGUGGGGGUUGGAAAGUUUCGGCGGUUGGGGAUGGACUCGCGGCUUAUCAGCUUGUUGGUGGGGUAGUGGCUUACCAAGGCUUUGACGGGUAGCCGGCCUGAGAGGGUGACCGGCCACAUUGGGACUGAGAUACGGCCCAGACUCCUACGGGAGGCAGCAGUGGGGAAUAUUGCACAAUGGGCGGAAGCCUGAUGCAGCAACGCCGCGUGCGGGAUGACGGCCUUCGGGUUGUAAACCGCUUUCGCCUGUGACGAAGCGUGAGUGGCGGUAAUGGGUAAAGAAGCACCGGCUAACUAUGUG